CCUCCAUUGCAUGUGUAGGGUGUCGUGUACCCUCCAUUGCAUAUGUAGGGUGUAGUGUACCCUCCAUUACAUGUGUAGGGUGUCGUGUACCCUCCAUUGCAUGCGUAGGGUGUUGUGUACCCUCCAUUGCAUGUGUAGGGUGUUGUGUACCCUCCAUUGCAUGUGUCGGGUGUCUGGCUCGGUGUUUACGGAGGACUCAGCCCUCGAUGCCGCCGUUCCAGACGCCCUGAAGUGAGGCUCAAUGAGUCGCGGAAUGAAUCGCUCUCUGAAGUGGCAUUGGGCGUCCGCCGCCAAUGGCGCCCUACAAUUUGGGUUUACUCGUAACGUACACUGAGGUCAGCUGGCGUUCCUCGUGAAGCCCGGACUGACAUCAGCAAAUGCUUUAAAGGAGCAGAAAGAGCAACUAAAAAAGGGACCGUAUCAAUUUUGACAGUAGAUUAAAUUAUAGGAGUCCCAAAACAAAGACACAAGGCAGUGGAGCUUUUUCAUAACAUAAAUAAUAAACAACCGUUUUAGUGACAUAAUUAUAAAGGAGUGUAUAAGCAAUAUAAAGAUGUGUGCUUCUUCCUUUAACCUCCAGACAGUCAAAAUAAAUACUGUAUUUCAUUUUAUCAUUCCCUUCCCACUGAUACGUUGAAAAAAAGAAAAAUGAAAAGGAGGCUGAUUAAUUAUCUAGAAUUCAUCUUUUCCCUAUUUGCCCAUGUUCCUUCAUAUGAUAAUGAGAUGGGCGUGUCCAUGUGUGUCCAGGGGAAGGGAUUGGUCCAGAAUCUGGAUCACUUACAGAAGAGAGCAGCUCCCCAGGGUGCGUCUGUUAACGAUGAGACAAAAGACGAAAAACAGUGAAAAAGAUAGACAGGGGGUCGGACAUGAUGGAUCUCGCCGUGGUCUUAGACGACCGGGGGACUCGGCGGACCCUCUGGGUCUCCGUGGGGCGACCCAGAUGUUUAUUGGCUACGUCGUGAGUCGUGUUACGGCGCUGCUCCGGCCAUGCUGUGUCCUCAUUGUCCACAGAGCUUCUUCUCUACUUCCAUAUGUUCAGUACUUCCGUUGUGUCGGUACACUUUUAUUUUGUUGAGACUUCUCAAAACUGUGCGCCUGUCCCUUUAAGACGCUCAGCUCUGUUGAAGAAGGCUCCCAAGGGGCCUUUCUUUUCAUACCUUACUUCUCUACAUCCAUCACUGGGACACAUCUCUCAUUUCUAAUGCAUUUCAUUUGUAUAAAUAAACAAAUUAAAAACACGA